UACAGAGGGGGCAAGCGUUGUUCGGAAUUACUGGGCGUAAAGGGCGCGUAGGCGGCCUUCUAAGUCGAACGUGAAAUCCCCGGGCUCAACCCGGGAACUGCGUCCGAUACUGGAAGGCUUGAAUCCGGGAGAGGGAUGUGGAAUUCCAGGUGUAGCGGUGAAAUGCGUAGAUAUCUGGAGGAACACCGGUGGCGAAGGCGGCGUCCUGGACCAACACUGACACUGAGGAGCGAAAGCCAGGGGAGCAAACGGG
rnacentral:rRNA from 1 species